rnacentral:rRNA from 11 species
AGGUGUAGCCUAAAUGCCCUGAAGGCACCAGAUUUCCAUAAUAAUCUCUGAAACUGAGUUGUGUCAAGGUGAGUUAGUACUUGAAUGGGGUUGCACCAGAGAAUACCAAAUGCUGUAAGUU